rnacentral:rRNA from 1 species
GACGAACGCUGGCGGCGUGCUUAACACAUGCAAGUCGAACGGAAAGGCCCUGAGUUUGUGGGGUGCUCGAGUGGCGAACGGGGGAGUAACACGUGAGUAACCUGCCCUUGACUUUGGGAUAAAUUCAGGAAACUGGGGCUAAUACAGGAUAGGAGCUCCUGCUGCAUGGGGGGGGUUGGAAAGAUUCGGCGGUUGGGGAUGGAAUCGCGGCUUAUCAGCUUGUUGGUGGGGUAGUGGAUUACCAAGGCUUUGACGGGUAGCCGGCCUGGGAGGUUGACCGGCCACAUUGGUACUGAGAUACGGCCCAGACUCCUACGGGAGGCAGCAGUGGGGAAUAUUGCGCAGUGGGCCGAAGCCUGAUGCAGCAACGCCGCGUGCGUGAUGACGUCCUUCGGGUUGUAAACCGCUGUCGCCUGUGACGAAGCGUGAGUGACGGUAAUGGGUAAAGAAGCACCGGCUAACUACGUG